rnacentral:rRNA from 1 species
AUGGCAGGGUUCCUGAUCAGAGUGUACAGCGGCUGGGGAGUCGAGCUCGCCGCCGUCUCCCUCGCGGCCUUCCUCCUCCGGUACGCCGUGGUGCCCUACGCGAACCACCUGGUCGCCAGCCUGAGCGGCCUGAGCGAGGUGGUCGCCAGUGACGCGGUCGUCGCGAGCUACUGCUACGCCUCGGGCCUCGACGGCGCCACCAUCUCCCGGCUGCCAUGCUUCGUGGCCGGGCGGCCGGGCGACGCUGCUGCCGUCGGCACGAUGGACUGUCCGGUGUGCCUGGGCGCUGUCGAGGAAGGGGAGACGGUACGGGCGCUCCCUGUCUGCCGGCACGCAUUCCAUGCGCGGUGCGUCGACGCCUGGCUGCGCCUGCGGCCGACGUGCCCCGUUUGCCGAGCGACGUUCAGGUGA